CGAGCUAAGAUAUCCACGAAGCUUAGCACAGUUCAGCAAACAGCUGAUUGUUAACAGUUACAUAUAAUGUACUGACAGUCAAGCCACAAGAGCAAAUGAGAUGUAAGUGAUCUGCACCAAGCUGCACUUGUAGCUGGAAAUCACUCUUUUAACCACCACCCCACUUCUUUGUAGUCAAGUUAUAUAUCAAAAGACCUUCUGGGCUGUUUGUGUGCACACAUGGAUCGGUGGCAGGACAAGUUUCUCAGUUCUCUUUAACAUUUUACACGUGGAUGUAAAUUGAACUCUUUCACAAAGUAAUUACAGUUGUUAUUUACUAAGAAGGAACUAAGAAAACAAAUUUGUUGAUAGUUUAUUCUGGAUUUUAUUAUAACUACACAGAUAUUACUUAAAAAUUAUUAGGAGGUACAGCUACACCAAAGGUUACUUUCAGUAACAGAGAUUUCCCUACCAUGUAGAUCUCUCGACAGCCAUGUCCCAACAGGCUCUAAAUCGCUCAUACACAUACCGAGUACUGUUCAAAGCAGACUUGCUUUCAGCAAGAUUAAAUACCUGUUCAGUUUGAACUGUCCCAGUGCCAGGACAAACUACAACUCAACCAGUUCAGACAGCCACCCCACCAGGCACCAAUGGCCUCUGCAACUCCCAGCACCCCAGAUCUGCUGCUUCUGGGAUUUCUGCCAGGAGCUGUGGGGUAGCUCUCCGCUGAGGACAUUGCAAAUUAAAUAUUCUAGAAGUGUGCUUGUGUUUACGUGGAGCGAGGCUGCAACAGUUCAGAAUAUGAGUCAGUACGGUUUGCAUCUACGGAACUGAGCAGCACAGUUAGAAACAGUGCAUUUUCGAGGAAGCGGGGGGUGUGAAACAGUUCACCCAGGGGAACAGUCAGGCUGCACCUGGCAGGAGCCAGCACUCACCUGGAGACAGCAAUUUGCUCCAGUACCUCACUGCUCCAGAGCCCACGAUUUUCCCAUAGUAAUGUCAGAAGUUUCUGCACAGGAGAGGCACUUUGGUCCUGCCUGUAUCGGGGAGGCUAACAACGGUACAGCCAGACAGGCUGACAGGCAUGCACACCCACAGUGUGGCUCCGAGCCUUACUUUUUUGCCUUGCUUAAAGUGGAAGCUGAAAUAUAGUUCUGAUCAGAACAGCAAAGAAAAAAAGUUAAAAGCAGCUCGAUUAGUUAACGCCACAGCAUCCAAUAAAGUCCUCGGAUGGAAAAGCAGAGCAGAACUGAAGAAGAGCAGCCUGUCCCCGUGCGUCUCACCAUGCUGGUACUUAUGGCCAGGUGCGUUUUAAGGCCAGCACCCCUUCAUCGAGGCACAGCAGAACAGCGUGCCCUCCCAGGGAGCCCUUCUGGCAGCCGUUGGAGCACACAGCCGCUGAGCACACCAGAGGAGCACCGCUGUCUCUCAGGGAUCUGAUGCAGGACGGUUCCUCUGCAAACACAGCUGGAGCCCCUGGCUGCCCCGUGCACACGGCUGUGGGACAGCACAUCUCAGCUCCGGCCACGCUUCAGCUCCCAGAGCACAGCAGCCCACACAAAAAGCUGCGUACGGCUCCGUUGUCGCAAACCUUAGCCGUGCGAAAUCUGUCGAGACGUUCCCAUCCUGAAGCGGCUUUUGUUUUCAUUUUGAACAGAAAAGAUUAAGACAACCACAAGCUGAGAACACUUUUCGGUAUGAUACAGUUCGCUCUGCUUCUCAGGAAGCACGCGAUCCAAGCAGGGCAGCUCACACCGGUAGCUCAGAGCGCACACCGGUGCGGGACGCUGAGCGGGAACGGGGCUACCACAGCGCUGACAGCUCCCGAUCACCCACAAAAGCACCGCAACCAAGCGGCUAACUUGCACUUCCCAUCCGCACCCCCAGCCCCGGGCUGCUGCCCCCCGCCGAGUAAUAAACCUGAGCACAGCUGAUCUUCGCGAGACCGCUUAAAUCUCUCUUAAGAGAGCCAUAAUCCGCCAUCACGUGCAGCAUUAAGGAGCAUUACGAGUAAAACAGAUCCCGAGGUGUCAGUAAGCAGCCGGCUGCGGCGCCGGGCACCGCGCUCGCCGCUACCCGUAGCACGCCCUGCCCAAGCGCUUCCGCGCACCACGAACACGAACCUCAGCACCGCGAUAAAGGCUCUUUCUUCACACCACACGUGCGCGCCGCCGUCGCCUUUCUCCAGCUGAAAGCGGGAUCAGAACUCUGGGCCGGCCCAACCGCCCGAGCCCGGCGCCGUCGGGAAGCGCCCAGCGCGGGCGGCAGAUAAAAAAGGCGGCAGCUUCUCACUGGAACCACCAAGGAAUUUUGAUCCUGUAAAAAAUGCCCUAUAAAAUGGGCCUGAGAGGGCUGUCUGAGUGGGGGAAAGUGCAAUUGGAUGUUACAUUUGCUUUUGUUGUGAUUGAUGUGACUCUGUCCGAUUUAUUUUCAAAUAUCAGAAUGGGUUCUGGAUGGAACUCUUGCAACCAAAACCUGUGAUCCAUUUGCCAAGAGCUGUUUUUACUCCAGUUGAGAACCGAUUUGUCUGGAUUUUGCCUUAGGCACAGUCCUUACCAUCUUCUGCCAGAGAUUUUUUCCCCCUGCAGACUUAAUCCAGGAUCCAGAUACAUGAUUGUUUAAAAUUUACAUUUAAAAAGGAGUAAAAGAUUGAUUGGAAUUCCAGGGGAGGAGAGGGAGGCAUGAUGAUAUAUUGGAAUCUUUUGUUCCCAGAAGAACCAGGAAAGAAUUAAGAUUAUUAAAGAAAUGUAAUUUGGGUCAGACCAAGCAUCUAAAUCCACAUCAGUUAAAAAGAUGAUUUUCCCUACAUUUUUAAUGUGUUUGACACAAGCGUGUUUGAUUUAUGAUGGGAGUCAAAACCAUCUGUAUUUGGGGAACAAGCACAUACUUAUUUAAACAAUGGGGCUGCCUGGGGGGAGACAUAGGAAAGAAAUGACAUUCUUUUGCAAAGAAUUCGGUGUUUUUCACUCCAUGAAGUAACUGGCACUGGUUUGAAAAGUGCUCUGCAGCAGGAACAGUAGCUCAACCUAUCUUAAAGGAGUCCAGCAGUUUACCUUUAUGCAAUUGGUAUGAUAGUGAACAAUGUUAUCACUGAUAAAGCUCUGCUAUUCCCUACUUUCCUUUCAGUGACCCCUGUGAAGAGAAUUGGUCUCAUUGGGCACCACUGAAAAGAGCCUGGCCCCAUUCAUUGGACUCCCUCCCUUCAGAUAUUAGGGACUUGUUCUAACUGCAGAUGAGGCUGAAGCAAAGGAACCGUUUCCUGAACAUGUCCUCAGCUCUCAUCUUGUGCUGAAAUAGUUUAUUUGAAGUUUUUCAGGGAAGAAGUGUUGAGGGCUAUCAGGAUGACAUCUACAGCGUUAAGUUCUAGCCUGUGCUGGGUGGAGAUUCCAUUCUGUAACCAGAUGCUGUGCUCCAUAUGGAUUGAUAUGAUUAGAAACAGGCUUGGAAAUAACAUUUAACUUUACCAGUCAGCUUCCCAGAGCUCCGUAAGCCAUGUGAAUGGAUGUUGUGCCCGCUGCUUCCUUUAAAUGCAUAACCUUGAAUCCAAGCAUCCCUGCACUUAGGGGACCUUCUUGGCAAGCUGUGGAACUGAUCUCCAAAGCUCAACACAGUCGAUAUCCCAUGACAAAGAUGUGCCUCACUGUAAAGCCCAGUGUAAACUAUGAACGUCAACAAAGGGGCCAGAGGAGAGACAGAAAUAUGUCUGCCCCUGCAAGGUUUCCACAUACGGAGAAAGCAGAAAGUAACAAUCUGCAUUUCAGCUGCUUUUCUAAAUGAAUGUAUUCAACCAUGUGGCGGGCCGGUAGCUUUCUCUUCCUGUGUGAGGCUAUGCCAAACUCGAGCGAGGAAGCCCAGGGUCUUUUAAAAGAAGGUGAGAAAAACUCAAUGGCAAGUGUAGAAUUUUAGAAAAGAGCCAAAGCCUCUGUCCACCCUCAGAAGAGCAGAACGACAGAGCUCUGGCAGCCACUGCAGCCACCACCGAUUUAUUUACGAGUUCCUGGAGUCGAUCCAGUGUAAUUAUGGGCCUGAACUCCAGAUCAGAUUCACUUGACAUUUGAGAAAGUCUGUGGAAAAACAGUAAUAAUAAACUGAUAAUAACCAUCCGUCUCGUAAGCAAUGAGAAAUAAAGGGAAGAGAAAGGGCAGGUGGGGAGAGGGGAAGGCAGCAUAAUCCCCAAAAGAUCUCCUGUUUGUCAGGAGAUACUCUCAGUGUACAACCCUGUGUAUUUUCUAGAAAGAGCUGCAGAGAAUUUUGGAGUAAGUCCUGAAUCAUGUCAAUGCUUUUGCUAUUACUGCACUGGAAAAAAUGAAGAUGGUGGGUGCAGAGGAAGCUGGGAUAAGUUGGGACGGCAGUUUCUCUUGGUGGAGCAGAUAGUUUGUGGCCCACAUGGCAUUUAUCCGAGCGUGCUCAUCACCUAAAUUACGUUACCAUGAAACCGUUGGCUUUGGAAAAAGAUGUUUGAAGAAACUAUGCUUCGGCGUUUGAUUUAUUUUCAAAUUCAUGCACUGAGUAGAAAUAGGCUUUGUUUGUAUUGUACUUUAUUGCAAGUCUCUCAUUCUGCCAGUUCAUAUCAUCGGUAUAACACGGAUGAGUAUUAGGGUUAAAAAUAUUUGUAUUUAAAACAUCUGCAGUCUUAUAUCAGGAUUUAUAUCCCAUUGUUUGAUCCUUCCCAUCUGAAUCACCCCGUAUUGUUUCCUAUUGAAUUGCUGGGAGAUGGCCUCACAAAGCAAACUCUCUGGGAGGUUUCCAGAAAAAAAAUAUUUUUCAAGUAAGAUAAGUUGAUUAAUUCUGCUGAAUGGAAAAGGCUUCUUCUAUGACAAGAAAGAGGCCUGACAUUUAGUUUACAGUUGUCUCAAGUAUUUUAUUUCAGGUGAUGGAAUUGAAUUGCAAGUUAUGAGUGAAUGUUUAAUGAAGCAAGAAGAGUUACGUUUGUGCUACAUCCAAACAGCAUUUGGUUUUCUCAGAGGGAGCAUUCCAGUUAGUUGCUCUCAUCAGACAACAACCAAAUGUCGAGUGCCCUGGCAAUCAACACCGAGCGCCGUAACACUAGACGGUAUCUGAAGGAAAAGGAAUCCUGGGUGGAUGAAUGGGGUUAGUGGCCCAGAACAUGUCAUCUUCAAGUGACCUGCUUCGCCACACUCACGUAACUUCUCAGGAACACCUCCCUUGCAACAUGGGCAGUGUAGCUCCAGUUGUGAAGGAGAAAGGAUAUCGAAAAAGGAACAGCCACAGCUGUAUGCAGAACAAUGAAUGCGCACUUCUUUGAGCUCAGUCUCUGUGAACUGCACACGUUGGUUGUUCAGCCCGUUCUUCCUGAUCUGACAAUGGUAUCAAUUUUUUUCUGCUUAGGAACAUUUCUAGAAUUGUAGUUCUAUGUUAUUUAAAGCUUUUUUUUUUUUUUUUUUUAAUUUUACAUUGACUUUUUAUUUAACUUUAAUUGACAUUUACUUAACAGUUCAGGUUACUGUGUUAUUUCUGUAUGCUUUGAUAUUUUCUUCUAUAAAUAUACAUCUCAUAGGUCUUGAGGAGGAGACUUAACAGUCUGGAGAUCUGGUGUAAGGUCAGUAACAAAAUGUAAUACACAGGAAUGCAAUAUAUUUUUUUCCUCUUACCUACCAUGCAUCUGGUUUUCACAGACAGGCCCUUUUCUUGGUCCUGGUAUUUCAUAGGAGCAGAAUGCUGACAGUUGUCUGGGACAGCCUGACCAGAAUAGCAGCUCAGCCUGAGCUGUUGGAUACCUAGAGAUCCCAGACACAUUCACCAUGCACAGCAGAUCAGCCCCACAGAGUAUGCAGUACUUCCACAGAAUUAGAACUUUGGAGCAUAUGUUGCCCAGAUGAACUGCACAACGCGUGGUAAACCCACUUACUGUGUGAAGUCAGACUAACCAUAUAAUUUAUGCACUAUACAUGUGAUGCACUGACAUGCUGGCCUCACAGUUAUCUUCUAUUCUGCAUAUGUAUAUGACUUCCACUGAGUAUUUCCUGGGCAUGAAGUGACUGUCUUUUUAUUUCCUUGCUUGUAUAUAUCGCAUGAUGAGACGCUGCUACUUGGAAAUAACUAAUUUUUGUUUGGGAUCAGCUCAUGAAAUUCUGCAAGGCUUUGUUGUAGAUGGUCGGCUGUGUUUGCAUCCAAACCACUGAACUCAGCGGAAUGUUGGAGCACAGCACUAUUGGAGGCACACUGAAUAAAGCUUUCAACUACUGACAGCAUCUGAAGAACAUCAGGAAAAUGCUGAAAGCCUAGGUAAAUAUCCUUCAGAAACCAGCUGGCAUGGCUGUGUGGGUUUCAGCACAGGGCCUGUCUGCCACAGAAUUUUCUUCAUGUUAUUUGGUGUUACAGUCCUCACAUGGAGCUCAUAGUUAUUAAAAUAAACAGCGCUUUUAGAAUAGAGCGCAGGAUUUUGAACUCCAUUCCUCUCUUGGCUUCCAGUGCCACGUAACAAUCUCAUGGCAGGAGUAAUCAAAAUAAUUCCGUGACGAGAAAAAUCACCCCAUUUUAACAAUCCCAGUUUGCUGUUCAUAACUAUUGCAUGGGUUAUUGGCACAAAUAUGGGCAUUAGGCAGUGUCUAAGAGGAGCUUAAUGUAGGUCUUCCAGAGGUACUGCCUUCCCUGGACAAUAUCAGGCUGCGCCCAUGUGCAUCCUAGAGACCUCAGGAAGAACAGAUUUUCUUUGCACAGUGAUACCAUCAUUUACCCAUUCCGUGAUUGAGGCACAAUGAAGGCUAUCAUCUGUGAUGUUAAUGGCUUUAAUAUACAGGCUCAUGCUAGGCGCAUAAAAGAAACUCCUCAGGCUUCUCGGCCUCAGCUGGCUGUGGAGCCACGGCAUGAGUUUGUAGUCUGGUUCUGCUUUCUGGAAUGACACAUGAAAAAAGGAUGGAGCAAGACAAGUGCCAAUCCGUUCGCACGCAGGGCUCUCCCCCCAUGGAAGACCCUAGAGAUUCCAGCUCCUUGCAUUUGUGUAAUUGGGCUUACCCAGUUGUCUGGGUAGCCAAAUUACACAAAUUCUGUUCCAUGGAAGUAUUGUUCUGCGUGGCUGUGUUUGUGUUUGCAACACUGUGAAGGAGAACUCAAAUUUUAAACAACAACGCAAAAAAAAAUAAAACAUGAAAUCAAGGUGUUUACUUGAAAACUCCUACAAUUAGAACUGCAAAUGUUUCAAUAUGUGCAACAUGUGAUUGCUUAUGUGGGACAGCAUGAGAGUGGACUGCCUAUUGGGAGCCCUUUUGGCUCUCAGUUUUGCAGAAUGUCUUGGCUGCAGAGGAAGGAUUGCUUUGCACUGCUUCGGAGGAACACCAUUUUGAUUCUAAAUAGUAAAUUCUCUGAACAAGUCAAGGCAGCAAGAGUACAUGGGAACUUCAAAUGAAUUUCCUUAAUUGUCUCAUCUGGAAAAGCCAAGAGGGAAGGAAUCAAAGAUUAAAAGUUUAAUCUUGAUAUUUUCACAAUAAAUGCUUUGAUUUUGGAUUUGGCAGUGACACAUCAGUUUUAUAUUUAGUUUAAUUUUGAAGAGUUGCAAAAUGGGUAAAUAAAUCUAUGAAACAGAACAGCUGGAAAAUUCACAACUGUGAAGGUUUUCAAAUUUCAGAAAUCUGUGGCCUAUGUGGCUCCAUAGGCAGCUCUGGGCACUACUCAGAGAUCCAGUAAUAUUCAAAGAUUCCAGUGAUAUUCCAGCAUGAAGCCGUGCCUUGGUGUCUUCAGCUGGCGCUAGAACUGGUGAGUAAUAGAGCCUGACUAUGGAAGUGGAUGGUCCUGAAUGAUCUGCUAGCAGUAAUGAUUUAUCCGUACAACUCUUGUCCAACUUAAACAUGGGCUUCCCCUGAGACCCACAAUGACAAAUAUUUAAAGAUAUGUGAGAACAACAAACUGUUAAAAUAAUUCCUCCUAAGUCUUAUAGCCGCCAAUAUUAUGCAAGCGUACGGUAUGAAUCAUGUUAGCCUUCCCUGGAAAAGUCUGAGUUUCUUGCAGUCUUUCACUAGGAUCCUGCAUUGUAAUGGCUCAUUCAUUAUUUAUAUUCUUUCUUUCACUAAUGGGUUAGCAGCAGAUAUGAGAGGAGUUAGAAAAAAAACCAGAAAUCAGUGAAGUGGAGAUAUUUCUUAUUAUCAAUCCAUAUCAAAGGACACGUAGCAGGCAAAACUGGAGCCCUGAGUCUGUAGUAGGAGUGAAAUACUUGCAGUCUCAUCAUGUUCAUAACCAGAAAAGCUAUAUGGAAUCUAUUCUCCUCCAAGCCAGUGUGUUCACAUGUCAUCUGUGUGAAACAAAGAUCCCAUUUCUGAUAAAGCAACUUUUCAGAGGAAUAGUGUAAGGCUAUUUGAAUAGGGAAGCUGUAAUUCAAACUAGUAUCACUCUGUACAUCUCAGAGCUUUUUCAGCAAAUUUUUACAGCUACAUAAAACUCUCAAGGCAGGAAUUUAGUAGAAAGAUGCAUUUUAUGAAGCAAGCAUUUGUUUAUUACCAAGUGAUGCAGUGAGUCAUUUGGCGACCCAGUGGUUUCCUUAUUGCAUGGCUGUACUGUGAAAUUCCACAUGAAAAGUAGGAACAGUCUCCACGUGUUGCAUCACAGAAAUGCUGUCUUUAGUAUGAAAUGAUUUUGUUGAUGCUCUUAGUUGUUCUCUGUUUGUCUACAGUGUUACUCAGUGAGAUGAAAUAGCAGACAUAGCAUAUGGCAUCACCUAUAUCUCAGUAUACAAAAAUGGUGGUUGCAGUGAUGCUGAGAUGGAAACUUGGUCUCAGAAUACACAGUUUGCAUUCAAACCACUAUACGUAUUUCUGAAGUUAUCCAGAAUAUUGCCACUCUACUGUAAGCAGUAAAGCACAAAGGGGAAAGAAGAUUUUAAAGGACAAGCUUGUAAAUCCAUUUGCAAUGUCAAUACAAUUUCAGACACAUUUUCCCCAGCCUCAAAGAUAUUGUUGCCAAAGAUUUGCGACAGAUUAAAAGCACCAGGAAAACAUAAACAUCUCAGCUCUGACACUGUGUCAACAAGCAAUUUCCAUAGUGUUUUGCAAAGAUCAGAAAUUAUUCAGUGAUAAAAUACAUUAUCCUAAACAACAGGGAAAACACUCAAAUCAAGGACACAUUCUUUUCCGCCUUAUAUCUUAUUUACUCUUUCUUUAGGCCCCAGUUAAAUGUAUCACUGAAGCACUUCAGAAUACUUCCUAAUUUACAAUAGUAAUGCUUGAAGGAUUUAAGCUAAACAUGCUGUGAACAGAUUUGCCAGAGUUAGGCUUUACAGAUUUGAGAGAUGAGCUCAACGGCCAGGACAAGCUGCUGUUGAUACAGGUUUGUGGCAAAGAAUGCUGGUAGUUUGAGCUGUAUUUUUGCUUCUUCUUUUCAACAGCCUAGCAAGUAAUAUAAUAGCUGGAGGAAAAAAAAAUGGUGUAAUGCAGCAUGGCAACAAAUCUCUCUUCACUAAUACGUUCCGAAGAAUGGCUGCUGAAGCUGGGGAUGACCAAGGGAGCACCGAGUGCCUGGGAGAAUCUCUGCAGAGUAGUUGCAUUGCUGUGAACUCCACCAUGCUGCUGGAAUAGAAAGGAAGAGCCAGAUCAGAAGCAGUCACACAGGAGAAGGUUUCUGAAAGCCCAGUGGGCUUUAUGUCAUGAGAAGGUCACGAGCAGUGAGCUGUCAAACUGUGCAUUGAGGCCUUACUUCUGCUGUAAAGUUAUGGCUGUAUUACUGUACCAGGUAGUGGAAAAUCAGGCUCAACAGUUAUUCUUCAUUAAAUGUAAAAUGUUUGCAUUUUAGCCAAUUAAAAUAUCUCAGUGUGUUCAAAUAAUCUGUAAAUCCGUGAUUCUGGAACCUGCCCAGAACUAAUUUAAAAAGCCAGUACCUGUAACAAAGACGUCACAAGUCAAAGAAUAUUAAAAGUGCCUUACUGUUCUAUAAAAUGAACACAGUUGGGUGAGAUUGCUCAGUCAGCAGGGUUGGUCAUGCUUGAGCAGGCUUAGCUCACUUUAAGUGCACCCUCUUACCUUAGGGUUGGGUCUUCUACCUGUGCUUCUCUGGUUCUCCACUGUAUUCCUAGUGCUGGGCAGGCACUUUGUAAAUAAAUAUUUUCCAAUUUGAAAAUGCCAUUUCAACAGUGGGAACUGGUAUCAAGUUGUGUGUUUCAAAUUGGAAGCAUUCAUUCUUAGUAAAAGAGAAUUUGUUCAAAGCUCAUUGCAAAGCUUUUGGAAUUGAAUGCUUCUUAUUUACAAUGCCUCUUUCAGAAAAGCUCUUUUAAAAAAUAAAAGCAUUUUAAUAAAAUGGUAUAUUUCUAUUGACAGGGCAUUAGGGGAAUGUUUUAUUACAUGGGAAUUUACAAAUUCUCUGGUCUUUUUUCCUCUUCAAACUUGGACAUAUUUCAAAAUGUCAGAAUUUCCUGUGGAACAGAAUUUUCAGUUCUGACAUACCCUUGUCUGUUGAGCCCUUAGAAUGAAGAACAGUCAUUAACAUUGGUAAUCAGCCAACAAACCCAAACUUGCAGGAGAGACAAAAAAGGUUAAGAGAGAGAGAGAGAGAGUAGAAAUACCUUAUGCAGACUUUUGUACUCAGCAUGUCCUCAGUAACUCAAGCAUACACACAAUUGCCUCUCUAACUGAACUUAGGUAUGGGAGCUUUCUAGCCCUAAACCUCUGACAUUGUUGUAUAAAGGAGGCAUCAGUGGUAUGGUACAACCCAUUCUUCAAAUCAUUUUUUUCAGCAAGCUGAAAAAUAAGGAAUAAGAUGAUAGGCUUUGUUUAAAUCUGUAGCAAAAAUAAUCACUCAUAAAGUCAUGGAAUGUGGAUGCAAGCAUUUGGGGCCUUUUAAAGCUGCCUUGCUUUGCUCAGCUGUACUACUUCAACUACUCAUUGUUGGCGUACUUGAAUCUUCAUCUACAAACUUGGAAAUCUCAAUUCCCCAUCUGAGUUAAAAGUCUAUAAUUUAUGUCCACAAAGUCUUCUGUUUUUUUUUUCAAGGAAAUUUAUCAAGUGGUUUCUCUGUCUCAAAUCCCCUUUCUGAAGAUUAAAAGAGGGAAUAUCUAAAGAAGAUAUAAUAUCCGGUGGCAUUCAGCUACUCAGUAAGAUUAAUUCUGCCUAAGAAGACGAUGGAUAAUUCACACUAUCGGACCAAUUUUCUUUUAAUUCCUAGAAAUGCUUCCAUCAGAUCAUAUACACCAAUGUAGACAAAGAGAGAGAGAUGUGGAGAGAUUUGUAGACAUCAGUAAAUACAGCCAGUUAACUUUUGAUGAACUGAGGACCAGAGAAAGAAUACUAAUGAUUUGGAAGGAGGUUCUGUGGUACUAUUGCUUUUAAAAGAAAUAAUUUAAAAAAGGAACCAAAAAAUGUUCAGGGCUUUGUUUAUUACAAGAAUGUAUAAAUCUGGGUGCACAAAGAACAAAUAUGCUAUCUACAUAAAACACUUCAGUUUCCUGGCUCCUCCUACUUGGAUUUACUGGAUUAUAGCCAAGGAGUCGUAACUGCCAGAUUUUUCUCUAACAGAAAACCCAUCUGAGCGGAAUUUAGUAUUGGCAGAGGAUGUUUGGAGACAUGUGUGAAAAAUUAGGAACCCUUUAAGGGAAGAAGUCACCCAAUUAAAAACGUGCAGAAAAUAAUCCAUCAUACAUUCCCAUCAAAUCCCUUUUGCUUUCAAGUACCAAAAUAAUGACUGGAUGAGACCCGAGUUGAGUCUAGAGCUGGCUGAACUGCUUAUUGUGGAUUGAACAUUGUUUUUGAAGGGAGAAAAUUCUGAAAUGAGCUUUUUAAUGUUUUUAGUCUUGAUUUUAAGUUCUUUCCCUGUGGAAUAUUUUUGCAUUAAUAAUAUUCAGUCUUUUGGCUGUUUGAAUGAGCUUUCUUCAAGCGUUUUAGUGUAUUUGUACGUGCCAUGUGUUUGUACUUUCAAGUAGUGUUUUUCCUGUCUGGAUGACUCUUAAAUUUUAAAUAGGAUCACAAAUCAAUGAAUGAAAACAUCAAACUGUCACAUAUUCAGUUUCAAGAGGAUAAUCACUUUCUUAAAACGUAUGAAACAUUUGUAAUCACAGGCAUUUGGACGAAGCGCUCAGUGAUUUUCUAAAAAGCAGCACAAUAAUAAUACUAAUUAACAGAUCACAUUCUGCAGCUUAUGAGCAACCAUAUUUGCUACUUAAGAGGCUUUUAGUUUUGCUUUGUAAAUACUGACUCAACUCUACCAUAAUGCGUGUGGUACAGGACCAGUAGAAUGUAAAACAGGGAGUUAGUUUUUCUGUUGUGCUGAGAAAACCAAAAAGCUGCAAAGGAAAGAAAGCUCAGUGUUCUUCUUUUUUUUUUUUUUUUCUUCACCCCAAAAUAGAGCUAAGUGUUGGAUUUCACAAUUUUGUAAUUAUUAAUCAAAACACAUUCUUCUUCAAAGUAAUAGCCCCAUUUUUAUAGAAAAAGUCAAAAUAAUUUCCUUAUUUCCAUAGUUAAAUAUUUACUUUCCAACAUUAUGAAACCUUUGAGUGGCAUUCAUUUCAUCAGCUAUAAGAAUCACAGUUUCAAAUGCAUACCCUUGAACAAAAUAAAUUGACCUCCAGACAUGCCUGUUUCUCCACAUUGGCUAAAACUUUGGGGUUAGACAAAAUGCUUAACUUAGUCUUGGCUACAGAUAAGUAUUUUCCCAAAAGAAACUCUCCCCAAGCCUGUCUUUUUUGGAGUAGGUUUGAAAUUGCUUUACAUAUUGAACUCUUAAGUAUGUGAUUGCUUGUCAGCUCAAACUUGAGUUACUCCGCAUAUUUGGUUCGGCUUCACAUCUGAAGAAUGCCCCAGAGAGAGAAAUGAUCAUAUAGCCUUUACUUCUCUACCGAAUUUAAGUUCCAUUAUUUUUUCCCAUUUUAUCUCUUUUAUCAUAGCUGCAGGGUAUGUUACAGAGUUAUCCUUUACUCUGCUAAUCAAGAAGAAUGUGUCUAUUAUUCUCUACAUUUAUUUCAUAGAAGAGAUCACUGUUCCUGGGCAUAUGCAAGCAAACUCUUCACAUCACCAGACAUCAUUGGAAGUCUGAACAGCACACUGAAUUUCCAGCUUUGUGGCUUCUAUGAUUGAUUAAAAAGACACUCACAACCUGUGAAGAUUAAAUAACUUUAAAAUGAAUAUGAAAUACAUUUUGUAUCCUUAUAUUGAUGAAACUACUUCUGGAAAUAAAGAGAUUUAAUUUAGUACUUUUUGUUUCUUGUGCAAAUUGUGGUAUCCCUAUCAAUGUAUGUCUUAUUAGACAACUAGUUACAACAUUUUUUCAUAGAAUCAAUGCAAAAUUCAAGGAAUAUCAUAAGAAAGGGAAGUCUAGUCUUCUGCUCAAAACAGGACUAGCUUCAAUAUUAGGUCAGGUUGCUCUGGGUUUUGUCUAGUUGAGUUAUGAGUACUUGCCAGAAUGGUCUCCACAAGUCCUUUGGACAACUUGUUUUGAUGUUUGGCCACCUUCAUUGUGAGGAUUUUUUCCUAGUCAGAAUUUCCUUUUUGUGAUUCAUCUCUGUUGCCUCUUUUGCUAUUGACUUCCCAGAAAGUGUCUUCAUUUUCCUUGUAACUAUCCAGCAGGUAGUCACGACAGCAGUUAGAUGCCCCUUUUAGCCUUCUCUUCUGCAGACCAAGUUCUCUCAGCCUCUGUAAAUCAUGCACACCAGACCUGGCCAUUUUAGUGAUGCUCUGCUAAUGUAUAAUUUUCCCAUUUUCUGCAUUUUCUUAGGAUUUCUACCUUAAAAAAUCCCAAGCCCUUGAAGUUAAAGCAAAUCUUUAUUUGUAUAAUUGCUGAUAAAUUUGCUGUAACUUGAUCAUCCCAAAAGAGAACUGCUUGAAAAGUAUAACCAGCCUUUCUAGUCAUCUGGUCUGUAGAAGGGUGGAUUACUCUGUCAAGGCAGCCAAAUUUAACAGGGAAAAGAACCAGAUUUAGCAACCAUAUCAAAAGCAGACAUUGUCUCAAGAGACAUAAGACCCAUACUCCAUCCAGAUACGAGCCAAGGCGAGUAGCACAAACAAGUUCCUAACUCCCUAUUUAAAGGGGGAUGGAAAGUGUAUUUCUUAUCUAAAACUGUUUAAACUCCAAAAUUAGUAAUGAUUAUGCAUAGAGUUAAAAAUUACACAUACAUUUAUGGAGCCGUGCUGUAGAAGAGCAAUGACAGCGUGAUCAGAACUAAUGCACUGAGACCCUUCUCAGCAUAAAAUAUUAAGAGUUAACAUAAAGUACAGAAACACAGAAUCACAGGAUAGCUUGUGUUGGAAGGGACCUUAUAGGUCAUUUGGUUCCAACUCCUGCCAUGGGCAGGGCUGCCACCCACCAGAUCAGGUUGCACAGUGCCCCAUCCAGCUUGACCUUGAAUGUCUCCAGGGACGGAGCAUGACAAAGGGGCACGAAAAUUAUCACACGUGUUAGUAGAGGGCCUCUAAGAUGAUCAAGAAUCUGGACAGCAUGACUGGAAUUGAAAUGGCAGUUCUUCCUUGACUUUAGUAACACCACUGUAGACUGGCAGAUUGCUCCUCCAUUAACUUCACAUUCAUAGAACAUCCUCUGAGCCUAGACCUGCUUUCACGUUCAUGGGAUCUGUUUUAAAUACCAUAGGGGAAACUGGACCUGUACUCCUAGCCCCUGCGCGUGGAAGCCCCAGAGUUAGCAUCAAAUGCAGAAUGAAGCCAGUUAGGAACUGAAGUGAAGAGUCAGCUGGGAAGGGACACGUGUGCCAUCCUGAAAGCAGGCUGAGCGCCUGCUGCUGCCGCUGGCCCCUCUGCAAGUAGGUCAGCGGCCUAUUUGUGGUGUCCGUGCGGCUGCAGGCUGCCAGCAGGGAGUGAGUCAGCUGGGCCACAGGAACCCUGCACAAGGCCGCGGCCGUGGGGAGCCUCUGCUGUUUCCCUUCCCAAAGCACUUCGCCCCCUCCCUGCAGUGCGGAGAAAUUGAAUCCCACUUUCAGGAGAGUCAAAGGAUACGUGCUCGUUCUUGCGGGACAGCUGGGGGCUGGCAGUCUCGGCUGUCUGAUGGCUGCUGUUUUGCUUCUGGGAGUGAGAGCUGAAAGACUUCCCCUGACCCCAAAAGCUCCAGCCAUAGUCUGAGUCUGAGAUGGUGCCAAUGCCCUUCCUGUAGCAAGGCUGAUAUAUUUUUAUCUCAUCUUUGUAAGCAACACCACCAACUGCAACACCAUCUGCAGGGGCGAAGAGAACUUCUGCCAGGUAUGGGGUUGUUUUUAUAGGUAGCAGGAUUUGACUUGCUUGUUGAAGGAACUUGGGCCCAUUUGUCGUGUCAUGGUGAUGUGGUUUAACCAGACACGUGGACCUCCUGUCCAUUGGGUGACCACUGGGAAAGUAUCCCUUCAUUCCUUUCAGACCAAGCACAACUGCUGGAGUGAUGGACACAAGGAGAAAAUCAGCAGCCUCUUAACCAACCUGGCUUCUGAAUCGCUAAUUCUGUCUGCUGUGCCUCAGCUGUGUAAUUCUCUCCUGCACAGCAAAACAGAAUUUGUGAUCUCUACAUGUUUUUCCACGACUUCUGGACCUAUGCCUAGAAGACAAAACCAGUGCAUAAUAUAAAUGAUUAAGAUAGACAGUAUUAUAAAUUAAUAUAUUAUAGCAAUUAAAAUAAUAUUUAUUACUAUAUAUUAGAAAUUAAUAUAGAGGCAAAUGUAUGCAGCUAGCUAGGCUGCUAGUGUCCAGAAAUUCCUCCAAUGUGCACUGUGCAAAGGCAGACCUUUUCUCUUGCUUUGGUGCAUGUUCAGUAAGCUUAGUUAUGAUAUCUAUGUUUCAAGGUAUGUAUCGUGCUAUUAAAGUGCACAUGUGCAAAAUGUCCAUUAUAUCCCAAAUAUUUCAGAUUUACGUGACCCACAGAGACAAAGCAGCUGUGUCCCCAGUGACUAUUUAUUUGUAAAAGAGCCUCAAGAUUUUUCCCACGUGAUUCUGCUCGUUGCUUGCUGUUGAGCUAGUAACAUUUCCCAUCUUUCCUUCCCUCCAUAGUCCUGACACUUUGCCUGUUUUGUUUUAAAAAGGAGUUACUGUAGAAGUUUCCAAAGGAUAAUUAUCUGGGGAAAUACUUGUGUUCUCUGGAAGUCAGCAUCAUGAAAUACCUGCGGAUUUUCUUCAAAGAGGAGGAAAGUUUAAAUACAGGAACACUGGCACAUUAGCUCAUUUCUAUUUUUUAUCUGCCUAUUUUAGAUUUGUAGCUACAGGCAAACCCUAACGUAGGGUAAACUUUGGCUUAAGG
rnacentral:lncRNA from 1 species